GUUUUACUGUUGUAAACUUGUAAGAAGAGUGCAGUUUUCAAAACACGCCGGGUACGUGCAUAUAGGACUGUUCAUCCAGACUGGAUUUUAUCCGGCCCAGACUGGAACCCGGAUAACCGGGUUCCUGGUUAUGGGGUACCCGAAUUUAAAACCCGGUUCUAGGUUUUAAACCCGGUACCUGGGUUUUUUGAAAAAUCCAUCAAACAUUCGAAACCCUACUACUCUCACUCUCAUUUCUCACGCUGGUUCUCUCUCUCUCUCUCUCUCUCUCUCUCUCUCUCUCUCUCUCUCUCUCUCUCUCUCUCUCUCUCUCUCUCUCUCUCUCUCUCUCUCUCUCUCUCUCUCAUGCCGAAACCCUAGCUUCCUGUGCUGUCCGAAUCUUCGUCGCUCGUGUCGUCGUCUUCAUCAUCACUCUCCAUCGCUCCAUCUCCUUCUCGGUUUCUUGGGUCAAUGAAUUUUAUACUUGUGGGUUUGGGUGAGCAUGGUGUUGUCGGUUUCUCGGUCUCUUCCCUUUAAAAACGAGCCACCAUCAUGCUGCCUGAAGUACGAAUCAAUGCAUUCUUGCAUUAAGCUCAGGCUCGUGGUUUGUUUUUUGAGAUGCAAGAGUGGAGGUUGUGGAGCACUGGAGGCAAUAAAGCUGAGUGGAGGAUGAUUCCUUUGUGUUUGUUUUGGUGUUUAUGGCUUGAGAGAAAUGGGAGGUACCUCCAAGAUAUCUGCACAUUUUUGUCGAUUAUAUCUCAAUGGCAUCAUUUUUAUAGACUUCAUAUCUCAUAAAAAUAUCUUGUAAUUUUAUAUUUUGUAAUGUAAUGUAAUAUGUAGUGGAUUGCAU